rnacentral:rRNA from 1 species
UACGUAGGGGGCAAGCGUUGUCCGGAUUUAUUGGGCGUAAAGAGCGUGUAGGCGGUCAGGUAGGUCCGUUGUGAAAACUCGAGGCUCAACCUCGAGACGCCGAUGGAAACCAUCUGACUAGAGUCCGGAAGAGGAGAGCGGAAUUCCUGGUGUAGCGGUGAAAUGCGCAGAUAUCAGGAAGAACACCCGUGGCUAAGGCGGCUCUCUAGUACGGUACUGACGCUGAGACGCGAAAGCGUGGGGAGCGAACAGG